rnacentral:rRNA from 1 species
CCUACGGGGGGCAGCAGUGGGGAAUAUUGGACAAUGGGGGGAACCCUGAUCCAGCCAUGCCGCGUGUGUGAAGAAGGCCCUCGGGUUGUAAAGCACUUUCAGUGAGGAAGAACGCCUGGUGGUUAAUACCCAUCAGGAAAGACAUCACUCACAGAAGAAGCACCGGCUAACUCCGUGCCAGCAGCCGCGGUAAUACGGAGGGUGCGAGCGUUAAUCGGAAUUACUGGGCGUAAAGCGCGCGUAGGUGGCUUGAUAAGCCGGUUGUGAAAGCCCCGGGCUCGACCUGGGAACGGCAUCCGGAACUGUCAAGCUAGAGUGCAGGAGAGGAAGGUAGAAUUCCCGGUGUAGCGGUGAAAUGCGUAGAGAUCGGGAGGAAUACCAGUGGCGAAGGCGGCCUUCUGGACUGACACUGACACUGAGGUGCGAAAGCGUGGGUAGCAAACAGGAUUAGAUACCCCGGUAGUC